rnacentral:misc_RNA from 1 species
ACUCCCCACCCCCCCCCCCCCCCCUCCCCACUACCACUACCACUACCACUGCUGACAACGACAACGCCGUUGUCGUUCUUAGACACAUUAUCAUCGUCCAAAACGACACCGUUGUUGUCGUUUUGAGCCAAUNNNNNCAUUAGAAGCUCUCUCUCAACUAUACUCAUACUCAAAUCCUCGUUGGCGUCGUCGUCAUCGUCGCCGCUGCUCACUUCUAUCACCAGCUUGUCUUCAUGUUCUUGAAUUUUUCCUUUUAGC